AAGUGUCGCCGACAAAAACAGGCAAAAUACUCUAGAAUCAUUGCAGAAUAUUCUACACCAAGAGCAGAACCGAUUCAAUCAAUCAUUUGAUGUUAUCCUAGAAAACUUUAGACUGUCCUCGAAUAGAACAACUGAAGAACUGACUGCAAGGCAGCAGAAAGAUUAUGAGGUAUUGAUAAAGAAAGAGAAUAUUGUGGCAUUCUCAGCUUGCACUAUGAAACGACAGGAUAUUACAAGAAAUACAAAUAUAAUCCAAGUACCGGGUUAUUUACUGCUCCACGUCAAGGCGUCUAUCACAUUACAACAGUUGUUAUGUCUACGAAUAAUGGGGAACUUUAUCUCCAUCUCAAACACAAUAACGACUAUACAGCUGGAAGUUAUGUUACGGGCAAUGGCUAUAAGACUGGUUCAUUCGAUGUUGUAUUGAAUCUAAAAGAAGGAGACAAAAUAUCUGUUGGAAGUACGGGAAGUUAUAGUGUGUACAGUGACAGUGCUAAAUAUACUACAUUUUCUGGACAUCUUAUCGCAUAAACAGAUUAACUGCUGCAAAGCAGAAUGGUUUUUGUUUUUCAGUUGGCCAUUUUUUAUGCACUUUGUUUUAUUUACUUGAAUAAUAAUAACGUGCUAUCUAUUUGAUAUCUAAGCUGAAUAAAUAUGUAGAUGAUAAUUUUUACAAAGUUUGCGAGUGCAGCUGUUUUGGUGACACUUCUUUUCCACCAAAUUAUGUAAUGUAAACAAUAAAAAUUGCAAGUUUGA